GACGUAGGGCGCGAGCGUUGUCCGGAUUUAUUGGGCGUAAAGAGCUCGUAGGCGGCUUGUCGCGUCGACUGUGAAAACCCGCGGCUCAACCGCGGGCCUGCAGCCGAUACGGGCAGGCUAGAGUUCGGUAGGGGAGACUGGAAUUCCGGUGUAGCGGUGAAAUGCGUAGAUAUCGGAAGGAACACCAGUGGCGAAAGCGGCUUCCUGGUCCAGCACCGACGUUCAGGCACGAAAGCGUGGGGAGCAAACAGG
rnacentral:rRNA from 1 species